rnacentral:rRNA from 1 species
AACGAACGCUGGCGGCAUGCCUAACACAUGCAAGUCGAACGAAGGCUUCGGCCUUAGUGGCGCACGGGUGCGUAACGCGUGGGAAUCUGCCCUUUGGUUCGGAAUAACAGCUGGAAACGGCUGCUAAUACCGGAUGAUGACGAAAGUCCAAAGAUUUAUCGCCAGAGGAUGAGCCCGCGUUGGAUUAGGUAGUUGGUGGGGUAAAGGCCUACCAAGCCGACGAUCCAUAGCUGGUCUGAGAGGAUGAUCAGCCACACUGGGACUGAGACACGGCCCAGACGGGUACGGGAGGAAGCAGUAGGGAAUCUUCCGCAAGCGGCGAAUGCGGGAUGGAGCAACGCCGCGUGAGGGAUGAAGGUCUUCGUAACGUAAAACGCUAAUAGUAGGGAAGAAAAAAUGCGUAAGUAACUACGCACGUCUUGACGGUACCUAAUCAGACAGACACGGCUAACUACGUC